GGCUUGGUGGCAUAACGGUAACACACUCCGUGUCCUUAUGCAAUGUUCACAUAUUGUUUGACGGAAAGUUCGGAGUUCGAUUCUCCGUCAAGCCA